GACGAACGCUGGCGGCGUGCUUAACACAUGCAAGUCGAACGGAAAGGCCCUGCUUUUGUGGUGUGCUCGAGUGGCGAACGGGUGAGUAACACGUGAGUAACCUGCCCUUGACUUUGGGAUAACUUCAGGAAACUGGGGCUAAUACCGGAUAGGAGCUCCUGCUGCAUGGUGGGGGUUGGAAAGUUUCGGCGGUUGGGGAUGGACUCGCGGCUUAUCAGCUUGUUGGUGGGGUAGUGGCUUACCAAGGCUUUGACGGGUAGCCGGCCUGAGAGGGUGACCGGCCACAUUGGGACUGAGAUACGGCCCGGACUCCUACGGGAGGCAGCAGUGGGGAAUAUUGCACAAUGGGCGGAAGCCUGAUGCAGCAACGCCGCGUGCGGGAUGACGGCCUUCGGGUUGUAAACCGCUUUCGCCUGUGACGAAGCGUGAGUGACGGUAAUGGGUAAAGAAGCACCGGCUAACUACGUG
rnacentral:rRNA from 1 species